AUCACAUUUCUAAUUCCAAGAAAAAAAGACAUUCUAAUUGGACAUGAAAGUUGGAAAAAAUGGGCAAUUUGUUGAAACUCGAAUUCCCAAAUGUAAAUUAUAAGAAAAUCGGUCGCAUGUGUUCAACUGAACUUUUAAUAACGGCAUUCACCGGUCUGGCACCGGUCCUGCUGCUGCUGCUGCUGCUGCUUCUAUUUAUCGCGAUCUCUCUGGAUCCAGAGACUGAAUCUUCUAUCCGGCCAGUUAACAUUCGCCUAUACGUUCCUCGUAUCGUCGUGAUAAUUGUCCAUUCGUAUGCAUUCGCGUGGGCGCAACUUUGUACUUCGUAUUUAUUCUAUACCACAGAGAAACUUUGACGAAGAAAAGUAAGGAAAAUGAAAGAAAGGAAGUGAUGGCAGUAGUACUGCUUGUGGAGGUGGACACAGAAGAAGAAAAAGAUAGAAAAUGAACACGAGUACUUGCUGCACUCGGCGAUGAAAUAGAGAGAAGAAGAAGAAGAAGAAGAAGAAGAAGAAGAUGAAAAAGAUGAAAAAGAAAAAGACGAGUACUCCAAGAGUCGGUAACGAUAAUUUCCAAUGGAAUAGACGACCAUUAAUCGAUCAACUUAUGCUCGUUCGAUGAAAAUGUUGAAAUUGCGUAGAACUAAUUUACUAAGUCGUCAUUUUGGAAUAACUCUUUGAUUUGUUGGUCUAUGCAUCGGCGUCCGGAAAGAAUUGACAGAGCGUAGCUCCGUCGCUGUGCUAGCUCCCUCGAUAUACAGGUU